AACUCAAAGUUCAUAUUUAGUCACAUCUUAUAAUGAAACAAACCGUCUCUAGAACGUAUGCAUUUGAGCACUCCAGUACUCGAGUAUCCAAGGAAGGUGAACCAGCCCAGGAGUCCUGUAAACAGCCAUCCUUCCAAAUUAACCGAAACCAUUAACGUCAGAGCUUGAUGGAACAAUCACCCAUCAUUUUAAACAAAAUCAUCAGGCUGAGUUUGACCAAGAGCCCGGAUUUACCACCUCUGAAUUAGGACAUAGGACCCUCCGAGGGAUUUUACAAGCCAUUCUGAGGAACAUUUUGGGUCUUGUGCUCAAGGAAAUGGCUUCUUCAAGGAUUCCACAAGAUAAGUUAUACCCUCAGUUCUUUGCUUUACAUGGACAAGAGCUUUGACCUCCAAAACUGGGUGAAAUGAGACAUUUGCUUUUAUUUGUUUUUAUUUUAAGCAGCUCUUCAUAUGUAUAAUUUCCUUUUGCCCCAUUGAGAAGAGUACAUUAUAAUUUCCAGAGAAUUCAAAAAAAAAAA
rnacentral:lncRNA from 1 species